ACGACGCCCGGGUCAGGGCCUGGGCGCGGCUCGGAGCCGGGUCGUCGCUAUAGCAAUCGGGAACCGCUACCUGUCCAUUCCAAGGAUUCGGUCCAGCAGAAGCGUGAGGAGGUGGCGGAGGCCCCGAGGGCUUUGCGUCAUCACUUCUGCGGCCUGCGGGCGAGAAGGUGCGCUUCGGGAGUAGCGCGGGAGGACAGAAGGCGCAGGUUGUGAGGGACGCAGGCCCUGGGGCUUCGGUCUCUGUCCUCCGAGCUCAGAGCCUCCAGGCUUCUUCCCGGCCGCGCGCUCAGCAUUCACUGUCUUACGGUCCCGAAGCGCUUUAAGGUGCGCAGUCCGCAGGCCUUGCCUACUGAUCUUCGAGCCACCCCUUGAAGGAAGCAGUUGCAGACGCUGAGCACAGUGCCAAACCUAUAUAGAAACUCAUUUGGGAUAUGGAGGAGAAUAUGCCACCAGUUCUCCAAAGUGGAGGGGAAGCAAAAUGUCUGUCCCAUGAUGAAUGUGCCCUGAUGUCUCAUUGGCUAUGUUGGUCACAUGGCUUCACUGGCCACAAAGGACUCUGGGCACUGUGGGCCUCCCGUCUGAAGGUGGUUGCAAGCUGGUUGAAACAGAUGCUCUGACUAAACACAAAGGGUAGGACAAGGCAGGACGGUCAAUUAGGCACCAAGUGAGUGGAAAAGACAAUGAAGUUCCAAGGAGCAGGUAGAAGGACAAGAUCACUGUGGCCGUAGGCCUCACAGAGGAAGGAAGGCUUGCGCUGGGCUGGAAGGAUGCACAAGAUUUGGCUGGGCCACAGAAAGAACUUGAGGAGAAGGGCCUGAACCCCAAGAUUCCACAAGAAUUAAGCUAGAAGUCAAAGUGUUAUGCAAGCCGGAAGUUUCCAAGAGUAUAAGCCAAAUUUCUUCAAUGAAGAUUUCCAAAUCAAAAUGUCAGCCUCUCUUGUAGAAGAAGAAAUAUUGAUUUGUGUUAACUUCAUCUGACAAAAAAUGUUACAAAGUGAGGGCCAACAGUGCACACUGUAAAGAAACCAGAAGGGACAUGAGUCUAUUAGAACUAGAGCUUCAAUUUAUAAAAUGGAAAGAGGAACAUCAGAUAGAGAUGUUAUUAAAAUAAAAUUACAUUGUUUGGUGAAACAAAAAGUAUUCUAGGCCAGGGGUGGUGGCUUACGCCUAUAAUCCCAGCACUUUGGGAGGCUGAGGUGGGCAGAUCUCUUGAGGUCAGGAGUUCGAGACCAGCCUGGCCAGCAUAGUGAAACCUUGUCUCUAUUAAAAAUUAGCCAAGCAUGGAGGCAGGCACCUGUAGUCCCAGCUACUCUGGAGGCUGAGGCAGAACUGCUUGAACCCAGGAGGUGGAGGUUGCAGUGAGCCAAGAUCACAUCAUUGCAUUCUAGCCUGGGUAACGGAGGGAGACUCCAUCU